rnacentral:sRNA from 1 species
CUCACUCGGUCGGUUCCUCGGGCGAGUUACGGGGACGACCUGCGGGAGCACGCGGGCAGUGGCCGGACGCUGAAGCCCAGGAGAGCGAUGGAGACGCAUGCGGAGGCUGGGAAGGAAGGCAAGCCUUCCUGUGCAUCGGUGGAUCUGCAGGGAGACAGCUCCUUACAGGUGGAGAUUUCUGACGCAGUGAGUGAGCGGGACAAGGUGAAAUUCACUGUUCAAACCAAGAGCUGCCUCCCUCACUUCGCCCAGACCGAGUUCUCAGUCGUGCGGCAGCACGAGGAGUUCAUCUGGCUGCAUGAUGCCUACGUGGAGAACGAGGAGUACGCCGGCCUCAUCAUCCCCCCAGCCCCUCCGAGGCCAGACUUUGAGGCUUCGAGGGAAAAGCUACAGAAAUUGGGCGAGGGGGACAGCUCUGUCACUCGGGAAGAGUUUGCCAAGAUGAAGCAGGAGCUGGAAGCGGAGUACCUGGCCAUCUUUAAGAAGACAGUUGCGAUGCACGAAGUCUUUCUGCAGCGCCUGGCGGCCCACCCCACCCUGUGUCGAGACCACAACUUCUUUGUGUUUUUGGAAUAUGGACAGGAUCUGAGUGUCCGGGGGAAGAACAGGAAGGAGAUCCUCGGAGGGUUUCUGCGGAAUAUCGUGAAGUCCGCGGAUGAAGCCCUCAUCACGGGCAUGUCAGGGCUCAAGGAGGUGGAUGACUUCUUUGAGCAUGAGAGGACCUUCCUGUUGGAGUAUCACACCCGUAUCCGAGAUGCCUGCCUGCGGGCCGACCGCGUCAUGCGCGCCCACAAGUGUACGCAGGGCCCAAGGGGUCCUGGAUCCCCCUGCCCCUCUCCCCAGUGGUUCAACUCCUUGGGGGAGAGAAGAGAGCAGGGCAUGCCUUGUUGUUUGUCAGUGGCCACAAGCACCAGGGCUUGACGUGCAGAUGUAGGGGCUCUGAUGGGGGCUGUUCCCCAACAGGCCUGGCAGACGAUUAUAUCCCUAUCUCAGCUGCGCUGAGCAGUCUGGGAACACAGGAAGUCAACCAGCUAAGGACGUGAGGACUCCCCCCACUCCUACCCUCUCCCUAUGCCUGUAAUACCAUGUCUUCCCAUGAGGGGUCACUCUGUAGAUGUCUACUGUCAGCUCUAGGUGGGAGGUGUAGGCUCUCCUGUUGGGGGAGGGUGUUGGGAGAGAAAGGGGAACGGGAGAUUCCCAAGGAGGGGCUGAGACAGAGAGGCUUUGAGCUGUUCCUCAGCCCCCUACCCUAACUCCCUCCCUACUGCUUCCUAGGAGCUUCCUCAAACUGGCAGAGCUCUUUGAACGGCUGAGGAAGCUGGAGGGCCGGGUGGCUUCCGAUGAGGACCUGAAGCUGUCGGACAUGCUGAGGUAUUACAUGCGUGACUCACAGGCAGCCAAGGUGAGAGGCAGCCCCAGCGCAGCGCUCAGGCCUGGAGGCCAGGACAGGGCAGCAGUGACCCUGUGCCCAUGGUUCUAGGACCUGCUGUACCGGCGGCUGCGGGCACUGGCCGACUACGAGAAUGCCAACAAGGCACUGGACAAGGCGCGCACCAGGAACCGGGAGGUGCGGCCGGCCGAGAGCCACCAGCAGCUGUGCUGCCAACGCUUCGAGCGCCUCUCCGACUCCGCCAAGCAAGAGCUCACGGACUUCAAGUCCCGCCGGGUCUCCUCUUUUCGAAAGAAUCUCAUUGAGCUGGCAGAGCUGGAGCUCAAACACGCCAAGGCAGAAGAGCACCGCCUUCUUGCGCUUCUUCACUUCCUCUGGCGUUGAAGACUUACGCACCUUCAUGUCGUUGAACACCUUGAUGACACCAUCAGAGACAGCCACACCGGAGGCCUAGGAGACAUGCCACGUAUACCUCAUCAAGAAAAGGAUUCCAGGGAACUGCCCCUUGUUUUCUCAGAAGAUCCCAGUCCACGUCCCGAGUGGUCACUAGUGCCCUUCCCAAGGCAAGUCACUAGUUUUCCUACCCAAGCCACUGUCAAAGAACCAGAUGGGACACAACCUCAGAAUGGCAGCCAUGGCCUCUGAUCACCUAGUUCAACAACCCCUUCCCUCACUUUACAGGAUAGAAAUGGAAAACUCGUGAAAAGCACAGCCUUGACCAAAAUGUGAACCCAGAAUUAAAAGAUCCACCAGCUACUGACUCACUUGCUACUCACAGUACUUGCUCUCAGCCUUUGGAUAAAACUGGUGACUUAGAACUUCAGAUAUGGAGGACCCAAACACCUGAGCCAAGACUCCUCUUCAGAAAGAGCCAAGACCCCACAAUGCUAGAUGGGACCCCAAGGACACCGAACAGUUACAACAAACCCACCAGAACUGCUUAAUACAGUUACUACACAAACGACCCCUGUUCCCAGCUAGGCUCUUUCCCAACCAAGACAAGAAUCGCAACCCCCAAUAAGGACCCUGCCCGACAACUCCCUUCUUCCGGGAAUGGUGCUAGGCCCCAGAAGUCGCUGAUAAAAAUUAACACGCCAAACUCAA